UAUGUGGGGUCACAUAGGUAGGGCAGGAGAGCUUACAUUGCCGAUUUCGUUUCAUUUGUGAAAAAGAGGAACCUGAGAGAGAGAAUCAGAGGAAGAAGAUGAUCUAUAGGAAGUGGAGUCUCCUUACCGGCCCGGUCGCCAUUCUCGGCGGCGUAGUCGUCGCCAUCGCCGCCGCAAACGUCAUCUUCGUCAAGAAUGAUCCUUUCCUCAAACCAGAGGAGAGGAAGUAUGAAAAUGAACCUGCUACCAAGUAGGAGAAAAGAGACAACAGAAGUUUGCGUUUUGAUGUCUUUUAAACCCUGAUUUAUGAGCUCUGUAUACUGUUUUGCAAGACAUGCUCUGGGUAGUUAAUAAGAUUGAGAUUCUGAAUGGAGUCUGGACUCUGGAGCACGGGCCCUUAGUUUAGAACUAACCUUCCAAUGUUCUAGAAAACUGGUUCAUAUUUCAGAGAUCCUUAUUUUUCUCUUCUGUACAAUGUCAACUGCAAAUGUUUAAUAUGGUUUCUAAUCUUCCUUUUCUUUCUUUUAUCCCUAUCAAUUUGCUGUUAAUGCUUGCCUUUUUGGAUUAUUAUGGCAAAAUUUACACCUUGUUGUGCUUAA